rnacentral:rRNA from 3 species
GGACUACCGGGGUAUCUAAUCCCGUUCGCUCCCCUAGCUUUCGCGUCUCAGCGUCAGUAGACGUCCAGGACCUCGCUUUCGCCACGGGCGUUCCUUCCGAUCUCAACGCAUUUCACCGCUCCACCGGAAGUUCCAGGUCCCCCUACGUCCCUCCAGACGGGGCGUUUCGGCGCCCGUUCCCCGGUUGAGCCGGGGGCUUUCAGCGACCGACGUCCCCAUCCGCCUACACGCGCUUUAAGCCCAGUGAUUCCGAAUAACGUUCGCACGGUUCGUCUUACCGCGGCUGCUGGCAC